CGGCGAGGUCGGCGGGGAAGCUCGCGCCGGGGUGCUCGCCGAGCACCCGGAAGAGCCGCGCGGCCUGCGGGCUCAGCGUCCGGUGCGCGCUGGC
rnacentral:tRNA from 1 species